rnacentral:rRNA from 1 species
UGAGACACGGCCCAACUCCUACGGGAGGCAGCAGUAGGAAUCUCCACAAUGACGAAGUCUGAUGAGCACGCGCUGAGGUGAAGAAGGGUUUCGGCUCGUAAACUCUGUGUUAAAGAAGAACAUAUCUGAGAGUAACUGUUCAGGUAUUGACGGUAUUUAACCAGAAAGCCACGGCUAACUACGUGCCAGCAGCCGCGGUAAUACGUAGGUGGCAAGCGUUGUCCGGAUUUAUUGGGCGUAAAGCGAGCGCAGGCGGUUUUUUAAGUCUGAUGUGAAAGCCUUCGGCUCAACCGAAGAAGUGCAUCGGAAACUGGGAAACUUGAGUGCAGAAGAGGACAGUGGAACUCCAUGUGUAGCGGUGAAAUGCGUAGAUAUAUGGAAGAACACCAGUGGCGAAGGCGGCUGUCUGGUCUGUAACUGACGCUGAGGCUCGAAAGUAUGGGUAGCAAACAGGAUUAGAUACCCUGGUAGUCCAUACCGUAAACGAUGAAUGCUAAGUGUUGGAGGGUUUCCGCCCUUCAGUGCUGCAGCUAACGCAUUAAGCAUUCCGCCUGGGGAGUACGGCCGCAAGGCUGAAACUCAAAGGAAUUGACGGGGGCCCGCACAAGCGGUGGAGCAUGUGGUUUAAUUCGAAGCUACGCGAAGAACCUUACCAGGUCUUGACAUACUAUGCAAAUCUAAGAGAUUAGACGUUCCCUUCGGGGACAUGGAUACAGGUGGUGCAUGGUUGUCGUCAGCUCGUGUCGUGAGAUGUUGGGUUAAGUCCCGCAACGAGCGCAACCCUUAUUAUCAGUUGCCAGCAUUAAGU